rnacentral:rRNA from 1 species
CAGUAGCGUAUAUUAAAGCUGUUGCGGUUAAAAAGCUCGUAGUUGGAUAUCAGUGCGUGUCCGGUCCGGUAUGCCCGGCGGCGGCGCUCGCGCGUCACUGCCGGGCUCCCAAAUAUCGGCUGGCCGCAUUCAAUCGUGCCGGAUCCGUCGACGGGCCGUUCUACGGAGGGGCCUGUUGGCGACCGGCGACGUUACCUUGAACAAAUUAGAGUGCUCAAAGCAGGCUCUGAAUGCCUGUAUACAUAUUCAUGGAAUUGGAGAAUACGUCCCUGGCUCGAUUUGGUUGGUUUUGAGAGGCGAAGGGAAAUGAUUAAUAGGGACUGACGGAGGCAUUCGUAUUGCGACGCGAGGGGUGAAAUCCUGUGACCGUCGCACGACGAACUACUGCGAAAGCAUUUGCCGAGAAUGUUUUCAUUAG